UACGGGGGGGGCAAGCGUUGUUCGGAAUUACUGGGCGUAAAGGGCUCGUAGGCGGCCAACUAAGUCAGACGUGAAAUCCCUCGGCUUAACCGGGGAACUGCGUCUGAUACUGGAUGGCUUGAGGUUGGGAGAGGGAUGCGGAAUUCCAGGUGUAGCGGUGAAAUGCGUAGAUAUUGGGAGGAACACCAGUGGCGAAGGCGGCUCACUGGACCGGUACUGACGCUGAAGCGCGAAAGCGUGGGGAGCAAACGGG
rnacentral:rRNA from 1 species